UUUUAUUAGUAUAGUGAGUAUAAUUAACUUCCAAUUAAUAGGUUUAAAUUUUAAAUAAAACU
rnacentral:tRNA from 1 species